rnacentral:rRNA from 1 species
UACGGGGGGGGCAAGCGUUGUUCGGAAUUACUGGGCGUAAAGGGCUUGUAGGCGGCCAACUAAGUCCGACGUGAAAUCCCCAGGCUUAACCUGGGAACUGCGUCGGAUACUGGAUGGCUUGAAUUCGGGAGAGGGAUGCAGAAUUCCAGGUGUAGCGGUGAAAUGCGUAGAUAUCUGGAGGAAUACCGGUGGCGAAGGCGGCAUCCUGGACCGACAUUGACGCUGAGGCGCGAAAGCGUGGGGAGCAAACAGG